CACGCCUCCGCUGUCAUGGCGACCAGUGAGUCCCGCCCCCACCACCCCGCCCCCGCUGCCACAGCAACCUGCCGGCCCCGCCUCCGCUGCCAUGGUGACCGCAGGCCCCGCCCCCGUUACCAUGGCGAUUUCGACCCCCCCACCCCCGCUGCCAUAGUGACCGCAGGCCCCCCCGCCUGCCGGAGGGGCCGCGGCCGCUCCCGCCGCUCCCUCCCGGUGCGGCGGCCCCGGCCCCGGCCCCGGCCCCCUCCGCCCGUCCGCCCGGCCGGGCCCCACAGCCCGCCGGUGACCGCGACAGCCCAUCGCUGCAUCGCAAUUAAAGCCGGCGGAAGGGCCAUGUGGUGCUUCCGGUGGUGGCGGGGCGUGUCCAGCCGCGGCGCCUCCCGCGCUCCAUGGUCCGCGCCGCUCCCAGGGUCCCUCGCGCCGCGGCCGGUAGCCGGGAGGAGCGCGGAGGCGGGCACGGGCCUGUCCGGGGCCUGUCCUGCCCCGGGCCUGGGCCUGCCCGCGGCCGCCAUGGAGCUGGAGCUGCCCGAGGAGGUGGAGGGCUCGGCCGCGGCGGGUGCCGGUGCCAUCACCCCGGAGGCCGGCGUGGGGGGACCGGACGCGUCAGGAGGUCUGGCCCCAAAGAAGACAGCCAUAACUGAGGGACCGUCAGUGCCAGGACAGCCUGGCCAAGGAAAGAAGAUUGGCCACCGAAGCGUGGAUGCUUCUGGGGAAACCACCUACAAAAAGCACCCCUGGACAGCAGAAUCAUGCAAACGGCAAACCUGGAGCCCUCUCUUCAGCAGCUGGAUGAACUUGACCACGUCAUCCACUCUGAAGGGGGCCAUCCAGCUGGGGAUUGGAUAUACUGUGGGCAAUCUGAGCUCCAAGCCAGAGAGAGAUGUCCUGAUGCAGGACUUCUAUGUGGUGGAGAGCAUUUUUUUCCCAAGCGAGGGCAGUAACCUCACCCCAGCUCACCACUACGCCGACUUCAGGUUCAAGACCUACGCCCCAGUGGCUUUCCGGUACUUCCGAGAGCUCUUUGGGAUUCGUCCGGAUGAUUAUUUGUACUCGUUGUGUAACGAGCCUCUGAUCGAGCUGUCCAACCCCGGGGCCAGCGGCUCCCUCUUCUACGUCACCAGCGACGAUGAAUUCAUCAUAAAAACUGUGAUGCACAAGGAAGCUGAAUUCCUACAGAAGCUCCUUCCUGGCUACUACAUGAAUCUGAACCAGAACCCCCGGACUCUGCUGCCCAAGUUUUACGGACUGUACUGUGUUCAGUCCGGGGGCAAAAACAUCCGCGUGGUCGUGAUGAACAACAUCCUGCCUCGGGUGGUGAAAAUGCACCUGAAAUUCGACCUCAAAGGCUCCACCUACAAACGCCGGGCAUCCAAGAAGGAAAAAGAAAAGUCCAGCCCUACGUACAAGGAUCUGGACUUCAUCCAAGACAUGCCCGAGGGCCUGAUGUUGGAUGCAGACACCUUCAGUGCUUUGGUGAAGACGUUGCAGCGAGACUGUCUGGUAUUGGAAAGUUUUAAAAUCAUGGACUACAGCCUCCUGCUUGGGGUUCAUAACAUAGACCAGCAGGAGCGGGAGCAGCUGGCCGAGGGAGCCCACAGCACGUCGGACGAGAAGCGGCCCGUGGGGCAGAAGGCCCUGUACUCCACAGCCAUGGAGUCCAUCCAGGGAGGGGCUGCCCGGGGGGAGGCCAUAGACACCGACGACACGAUGGGAGGGAUCCCAGCAGUGAACGGCAAAGGAGAGCGUCUCCUGCUGCACGUAGGAAUCAUAGAUAUCCUGCAGUCAUACAGGUUCAUCAAGAAACUAGAACACACCUGGAAGGCCCUUGUCCAUGAUGGGGACACGGUGUCAGUACACAGACCCAGCUUUUAUGCAGAGAGAUUCUUCAAAUUCAUGACCAACACGGUGUUCCGAAAGAAUUCCUCUCUGAAGUCCUCCCCCUCGAAGAAAGGGCGCAGUGCCUUGCUGGCUGUGAGGGCGGCCGGUCCCACCGCGGCGUUCUCGGCCAGCCAGCUCACCUCCGAGCAGGACGACACUCAGUACGACCUGAGGGCAGCCAGGAGCUACCCCACGCUGGAUGAUGAAGGUGCUACACCUGACCAGGACAGGGGAGAAAGUAAGAGUGCAGCAGGCAGGCCAGACCUGCUGCCCUGCACUCCUCCUUCCUUCGAAGAAGCUACCACAGCCUCCAUAGCCACGACACUGUCGUCCACAUCCCUCUCUGUUCCCGAGCGAUCCCCUUCGGAGACCUCUGAGCAGCCCCGGUACAGGAGGCGCACACACUCCUCAGGGCAGGAUGGCAGAUCCCUGAGUGGUUUGCAAAUACCACCAUUAUUUGAUGGGAAGGGGAAACAACAGAGUUGUCCAGAUUCACCCACCCAGCCAGCACCAGAGUCAAGAAAGGUCUUUUAUGUCCCCUGUCACACGAGGAGGUGCGGGUCGAGGAGGAGCAGCAGAUCAGUGUGGAGCUGGAGCCCAAGUGUGACGUUGAGAUCGUGGCUCCUGAAGAAGAAGACAAAGAAGAGGCAGCUUCUUCAGCCUGUGCCAUUGUCGCAUCCACAGCCACCAUAGAGGUGGAGACGGCCAGCCAGGCCUCGGAGCCAGCCAGCCAGGCCUCGGAUGAAGAUGACGUGCCAGUCACAGACAUAUACUUUCCGACAGACGAGAGGAGUUGGGUUUACUCCCCGCUCCACUAUAGCGCUCAGCUCCACUCUGUCUCCGAUGAGGAGAGCGAUACAUAAUCUCUAUGCAGACACAGAAGUCCCAGAGAGCAGCGAUUCCCUCUGCAGGUCGAUGUGUUCCCUUUUCGUUGAUGCAGCCGUUCCAGUGGGAUGGGGAAGAGCUUGCUGGCACCAGUAUUGCUGCACUGCAGGACCCCGGGCACUGCGUUUCAGGACGGAGCAAAACUAUAACCGUGUAUUUCUACUCACCCCAGACGUGGGCAGCAAAGAAACCACCCGCUCACCCGCAGCUCCCGGCAGAGAAUUCCAGCUGGGUGUAGAGAAUCCUGGGUAGUAACACAGUGUUUUCCAGACGUGCACUACCGUAGCUACCUAUCCAUGUGUGAUACUGUGAACCUUUUUAAUUUUUUAAUCAUGUAUUUAUUUCUUUUAUCUUUGCACAGAGACAGCACAAAUGUGCUUUUUUAAACAUUUAGUUUACUGCACUUUUUUUUUUUUCUCUCCAUAUAUUUGUGCAUCAGAAAGGAGCGCGAGACCUCACCGGAGAAGGGGUAGGAGCACGUUGCUGGGGAGGGCAGGGACAGGAGUGGCUUCAUUUGAGGCAGCAGCGUGGUCUGACCAACUGAGGGAGUCAGGAGGUUUAAGGCUGUCCAGACUCUGCCACGGUUUUGCUGAGUGACCCAAGGCGAGUCACUUAAACCACUCUGUGCCUCGGUUUCCCCUGUGCUGAUGGGUGUACAGUACCCACGUCGUUACAGCACUUAAACCCUGGGAUGAAAGGUGCUAUGAAAAUGCAAUGUAUUAAAGGCCAUGGAAUAGGAUUACUCCCACGUUACCACAGUCCAAAGUAGCCAUGCCAACUCACUUGGAUCCAAACUCUCUAGUGACUUCUUCCGUCUGUGACACUGUGCGGGGGCAGCGCACGGUCCUGUCGACAGUGACGUGGACUCAGCUCUCCCUGGAUGUCGUGGUGGGCUCUGCCUUCCCCCUGUGCUGCACUGCUGCAUCACCCCUCCCUCUGUGCUUGGAGUCCACGCUUCAUCCGACCGGCUCUGCCUGCUCCGGACCCGCGGGCACGGACAGACGGGAACUGGGCACCUCCCGGGCCUGGCCAUGCUGGAGAGUGAGUUCCCUGCCCUGCCAGGCCCACGUGGGGCUCGUCUGGACCCUGAUCCUCCUGGAGCCACUCAGCCCCCCACAUGCUCGUGCGUGUAUCCCGGGGUCACCCGUCCCCUCCGCCCCUCGGGGCAGGCAGGGAGCGCGGGCACAUCCACACGCUGGAGGCAGAAGCGGGAGCCUGGCUCUGCCACGGAACUGUGCCAGCGCUGCUGUGGUCAUGGACUCUGUUGGACAGAAAGCUGUGUGACUGGGGUGUUGCCUGGGGUCACAUCUGCUGGUGGAAAUCACUGCUGCGGGUGUCUGAGAGGGCUUGCUUUGCGGGGGCUGUGGGUGAGAGGGUUUGGUGUCACGGGGUGGUGUUCAGCAGGACACACUCCACAGCGUUGUCUGGAAUCCAGCAAUCCCAUCCUCAUCUCCCAGAGAGAAGACAGGAAGUCCUUUAGGCCAGAGGGAGCCAGGUCUUGUUCAUGUGCUUUAUGAACCUCGCUUGAGAAAGAGGGUCAAAAUCUCUUUAUUCUCAUUACAAUCUUCACUGUCCUUGGGAUUCCUUGUAGAGGGGUGGGGAAUUGGGACCCUGCUCUCGGUCCCCCGAUCUGUGUUCACAGCAGCACUCGGGAGGGGUUAAGUGGGUCCCAGGAGGUAGCUGGGCUGGUGGGAAGCUCUUCCCUCUGCACUGUGCUGGACUUGGUGAGGAUCUUCAGGAACUGAUGUUUUCUUGCCUGGAAUACGGGACCUGGACUUCCCUGCCCUGCCUGCGGAUGCGGAAGGCUGUGGGUUGUGCUUCUCGGGAGCACAGCUGGGGGAUCGUGCAAGCUGCUGCUGUUCCAUGUAUCCAUGUAUUUACCAAAUAGUCUAUCAAAAGUCUCUCAAGAAACUUUCCCCUUUCA